GACGAACGCUGGCGGCGUGCUUAACACAUGCAAGUCGAACGGAAAGGCCCUGCUUUUGUGGGGUGCUCGAGUGGCGAACGGGUGAGUAACACGUGAGUAACCUGCCCUUGACUUUGGGAUAACUUCAGGAAACUGGGGCUAAUACCGGAUAGGAGCUCCUGCUGCAUGGUGGGGGUUGGAAAGUUUCGGCGGUUGGGGAUGGACUCGCGGCUUAUCAGCUUGUUGGUGGGGUAGUGGCUUACCAAGGCUUUGACGGGUAGCCGGCCUGAGAGGGUGACCGGCCACAUUGGGACUGAGAUACGGCCCAGACUCCUACGGGAGGCAGCAGUGGGGAAUAUUGCACAAUGGGCGGAAGCCUGAUGCAGCAACGCCGCGUGCGGGAUGACGGCCUUCGGGUUGUAAACCGCUUUCGCCUGUGACGAAGCGUGAGUGACGGUAAUGGGUAAAGAAGCACCGGCUAACUACGUGCCAGCAGCCGCGGUGAUACGUAGGGUGCGAGCGUUGUCCGGAUUUAUUGGGCGUACAGGGCUCGUAGGUGGUUGAUCGCGUCGGAAGUGUAAUCUUGGGGCUUAACCCUGAGCGUGCUUUCGAUACGGGUUGACUUGAGGAAGGUAGGGGAGAAUGGAAUUCCUGGUGGAGCGGUGGAAUGCGCAGAUAUCAGGAGGAACACCAGUGGCGAAGGCGGUUCUCUGGGCCUUUCCUGACGCUGAGGAGCGAAAGCGUGGGGAGCGAACAGGCUUAGAUACCCUGGUAGUCCACGCUGUAAACGGUGGGUACUAGGUGUGGGGUCCAUUCCACGGGUUCCGUGCCGUAGCUAACGCUUUAAGUACCCCGCCUGGGGAGUACGGCCGCAAGGCUAAAACUCAAAGGAAUUGACGGGGCCCCGCACAAGCGGCGGAGCAUGCGGAUUAAUUCGAUGCAACGCGUAGAACCUUACCUGGGUUUGACAUGGAUCGGGAGUGCUCAGAGAUGGGUGUGCCUCUUUUGGGGUCGGUUCACAGGUGGUGCAUGGCUGUCGUCAGCUCGUGUCGUGAGAUGUUGGGUUAAGUCCCGCAACGAGCGCAACCCUUGUUCACUGUUGCCAGCACGUUAUGGUGGGGACUCAGUGGAGACCGCCGGGGUCAACUCGGAGGAAGGUGGGGAUGACGUCAAGUCAUCAUGCCCCUUAUGUCCAGGGCUUCACGCAUGCUACAAUGGCUGGUACAGAGAGUGGCGAGCCUGUGAGGGUGAGCGAAUCUCGGAAAGCCGGUCUCAGUUCGGAUUGGGGUCUGCAACUCGACCUCAUGAAGUCGGAGUCGCUAGUAAUCGCAGAUCAGCAACGCUGCGGUGAAUACGUUCCCGGG
rnacentral:rRNA from 1 species